UCCUUGUUAGCUCAGUUGGUAGAGCGUUCGGCUUUUACUACCGAAAUGUCACGGGUUCGAGCCCCGUAUGAGGAG